rnacentral:tRNA from 1 species
GCCUUCGUGGUGUAGUGGUCACACUCGACUCGUAACCGAGAGGUCCGUGGUUCGAUUCCCGGUGAGGGCA